CAAGCUAUAUUCAUAGGUAAUAAUAUUAUUUACAUUAAUAUAAGAGUUGUGCGAUUCGACUUAGCUUGA
rnacentral:tRNA from 1 species